rnacentral:tRNA from 2 species
CGCGGGGCGGAGCAGCCUGGUAGCUCGUCGGGCUCAUAACCCGAAGGUCGUCGGUUCAAAUCCGGCCCCCGCAACCA